rnacentral:tRNA from 1 species
UAAUUGGUGGCUCUUUUAGUCUAAGGGACGUCGAAUUGUGGGUUCGGAGGAUUUAGGGGGCAAUUA